rnacentral:sRNA from 12 species
UAGCUCAGUUGGUAGAGCAGUUGACUUUUAAUCAAUUGGUCGCAGGUUCGAAUCCUGCACGACCCACCAAUUUAACAUCGGGGUGGAGAUGUUAAGCGUGAAGGAUAACGUUGCAUAGCAACGGCCCGACAGGGCAAGGCAAAGCCGAGUCAUCCUGCACGACCCAUCA